UACAGAGGUCCCAAGCGUUGUUCGGAUUCACUGGGCGUAAAGGGUGCGUAGGCGGUCGGGUAAGUCGAUGUGAAAUCUUCAAGCUCAACUUGGAAACUGCAUCGGAUACUAUUCGGCUAGAGGAAUGGAGGGGAGACUGGAAUACUUGGUGUAGCAGUGAAAUGCGUAGAUAUCAAGUGGAACACCAGUGGCGAAGGCGAGUCUCUGGACAUUUCCUGACGCUGAGGCACGAAAGCCAGGGGAGCAAACGGG
rnacentral:rRNA from 1 species